AAUGAACGCUGGCGGCGUGCUUAACACAUGCAAGUCGGACGAGAAAGCCUGAUUUCGGUUGGGCGAGUAAAGUGGCGCACGGGUGAGUAACGCGUAGGCAACCUGCCCUCGGGACCGGAAUAACCUGCCGAAGGGUGGGCUAAUACCGGAUGACGUCCUCCUGCACAGGCAGGGGGACCAAAGGUGGCGCAAGCUGCUACCAGAGGAUGAGCCCGCGUACCAUUAGCUAGUUGGCAGGGUAACGGCCUACCAAGGCUACGAUGGUUAGCUGGUCUGAGAGGACGACCAGCCACACUGGAACUGAGACACGGUCCAGACUCCUACGGGAGGCAGCAGUGGGGAAUAUUGCGCAAUGGGGGAAACCCUGACGCAGCGACGCCGCGUGAGCGAUGAAGGCCUUCGGGUCGUAAAGCCCUGUCGGGAGGGAAGAACCCUUCCGGGGUUAACAGCCCCGGGAGCUGACGGUACCUCCAGAGGAAGCACCGGCUAACUACGUGCCAGCAGCCGCGGUAAUAC
rnacentral:rRNA from 1 species